AUCGUUUUUUUUUCUUUCAAUUAUAACUGAAGUUUGAACAACUAGUGUUAAGUCCUUAUUUUUCUGUAGUGAAAAAAAGCAAAAAUUAACAUUCAGGUCAUGAAAAACUCAAAAAAACUCCUCAACCACUAAACUUUACCUCCCACCUGAACGCCAUCUUGAACGCUCUCCGCUUCUAGAUUAUUUUGAAGUCGCGGCCUCGCUAACGAAUGACGUCAUUAUACUGCGCAACCCUGGAUGUAUUUCAUCCACUUCAUCCAAGUGUAGGUGAUUGAAUGAUUUUCUUUAAAUAAAGAAGAAAGUUGUUUUUUAAACUUUUAAACUUCAGUUUUUGCAAACGUAGCAUUUUGUCGGCUAUGUUUAUGCUUGAACAGAGUACAUCCCUGACAACAGGAUCUGUUUAGAAUACAAAUAAAGAAGUUGUUCUGUUUAAACCGCAAGUCAGCCUUUGUUUCUGACUGACUCUGAAGAAGGAUGGCGGAGUGCUUGUUAAAUCUGCAAACCCAGCUUUACUCUUUCAUGCAGGUUUUGCUCAAAUCGAUCGUGUAUGAAGUGUCAGAAGUUUUUGGAAACAGGAUGUCUGACUCUGAGAACGAGUUUGAAGACAAACUCCGCAGCGUCUCCCAGAUCCUGGUGAGACGGGCCGUGUUUAAAAUCACCCAGUGUGUGGAGGACAGUGUCGGGAGUGAAAUGGCGCAGCUGAAGAAGGAAAACGAGAGCCUGAAGUGGAGACUGCAGCUGUGGGAGAAGGAUUUGGGAGCAGGAGGAGAUCGGGGACAGACAGAUCGUGUUGGACACACGCUUCUCUGUGAAGUCACUGCAGAAAUAAAAGAAGAAAUGGACACGAAACUGGAGCUGUCAGGCUCAGAGACCAGUGCUCUCUCUGACGCUGGGGAAAGGGCUCCUCUUGAACAGCAGCACAGUGAGGAGGAGUGGGGCUCCAGUCUGAUGCAGGAGACAGCGCUCACUGCUGUAGAAGGGAAAGAGAAACUCAGUGACCAGCAGCAGACUGAUGUACCUUGUGAAGAGAACAGUACUGAGUCACAGUACACAGAGAAGGGUCAGUACAGGGAGGAGCAACGGCAGCUCCUACAGAGCUUGAUAAUAAAUAGGCCCUGUUCUGUUCAAGUGGAGAGACUGUCAUUGCAGAGUCUAAAACAAUCAUAUGAUCCCUUAGUAUCUGAUGACUUUACACACAGGUUUAGUAAUCUGGUUACUGAGCAAAUUGUUAAAAAGUUUUAAUGAACUGGAGAGUAUGUCUGUUCUUGGGCAAAGAGAGGAACAACUGAAUGAACUGGAUGGUUUUAGUCUCAGAGAGCUGGAGAAGGAGCCCCAGAUGAUUCACACUGCUGAGCAGCACACUGAAGGACAGGCUGGAGAAAACAAAUCUCAGUUUCAGCACACAGAGCAAGACCAUUCCAUGGAGCAUUUGCAAAAUAAGAGACCCCAGCACGAUCAGAGGAUGAGGAAGAAUCACUCAAGGCCUUGCUCAGAUGGAGUGGACAAACUGAUAUUAUGGCACAGGGAGGAGCAGCGUUUCUGUCAGUCUAGCAUUUCAAAACCCUACCAGUUUUAGUUUGAAAAGCCACUUACAAUCACACCAGCACAUUCACACAGGAGAGAGACCAUUCAGCUGCAGUCAGUGUGGGACAAGUUUUAGUCAGUUAUGCAACUUAAAAAGACACCAGCACAUUCACACAGGAGAGAGACCAUUCAGCUGCAGUCAGUGUGGGAAGAAUUUUAAUCAGUCAAGUACCUUAAGAGCCCACCAGCAUAUUCACACAGGAGAGAGACCAUUCUGCUGCGGUCAGUGUGGGAAGAAUUUUAGUCAGUCAAGUACCUUAAGAGCCCACCAGCAUAUUCACACAGGAGAGAGACCAUUCAGCUGCAGUCAGUGUGGGAAGAGUUUUAGUCGAUUAAGCCACUUCAAAGACCACCAGCGUAUUCACACAGGAGAGAGACCAUUCAGCUGCAGUCAGUGUGGAAAGAGUUUAAGUCAGUUAUGCAACUUAAAAAGCCACCAGCACAUUCACACAGGAGACAGAACAUUCAUCUGCAGUCAAUGUGGGAAGAGCUUUAGUCAGUCAAGUACCUUAAGAGCCCACCAGCGCACUCACACAGGAGAGAGACCGUUCAGCUGCAGUCAGCGUAGGGAUAGUUUUAGUGACUGAAUCACCUGAACAGCCCCCAGAUUAAGAUCACUUUAUUGGCCAUAUACAAUUUCUUGUAUUAAGAAUUUGUCUUUUCACAGGUUGCACACCAUGAGGCCCACAGAUAGAGGGAGAAGCUUGGGGUCAGAGCGCAGGGGGAGCCAUUUGUACAGCACCCCUGGAGCAGUUGGGGUUUGGGGCCUUGCUCAUGUGUCCAAUGGAGUAGGAUUCCUCAGUCAGCUUCGGGAUUUGAACCGGCACCCACAGGCCCAGAUCCUUAGCCAUAUUGCCAACACACCGCCCUUAUUCGUACAGCAGAGAGAUCUUUCAUCUGCAGUCAGUGUGGGAAGUGUUUUAGUGACUCAUGUACCUUAAUAGCCCACCAGUGCACUCACACAGGAGACAUUCAUUGUCCACCAGUGCAGUCACACAGGCGAGAGAUCAUUCAGCUACAGUCAGAGUGAGAAGAGUUUUAUCUUGUCAGGGGACUUUAAAACACCAAUUUAGUCACCAGUUUUUAAUUUAUCAUAGUCUUAGUCUUGUCAACUGAAAUGUCUUUUAGUUGAAGUAGGUAGCUGCAUCAGCAUGUGACAUCUGUAAAAGGUUGCACAGCCGACAUAUUGUGUUUUCUUUGUUCUCUUUUCAGAGGAAUAAACCUUUACUUGUUCCUAAAAUGUCUAUUAGUCACUUUGUAGUCGCCCACUUUUUAUUUAGUCUAGUCAUCUAAAAGUUGACUAUAAUUACUCUUACUUAUAGUUGAUGAGAACAGAAUUAGUUCUAGUCAUGCAGUUUACUUUAUGUGUAUAAUAAAAUGUAAGUCUAAAUUGAAUUCUUUAUUCCUUUAUAGUCUUGGAAUGUUAAGUCCUGUUUAAUUUCCAAUUAAGACUGUUCUCAUUGGAUAGGCUUUUAAUUGUGUAACAUCUUUUAACUUACCAUGUAAAGCAAGAAAUGCGUAUAAAACAGAUUAGGAUUCUUAACUGUAACUCUUAAGACAAAGAGACCCAAAAGCUCAAAGUCUUUGUUGCACAAUCUAAAUUUUAUUAAAUACAAUAAAUAUUUAUGCAAUAAAGGGUAAAUAAUAAGGAAUUGGAGAUAUUGUAUGAAUCUCUCUUGAUAAAAAAAUCUAUUUUGGCACCCUUACUAAUAAUUCCAUUUUUUUAUGUUUUUUAACAUUCUUUUUCAGUGCAGCU
ensembl:lincRNA